rnacentral:rRNA from 1 species
UACGUAGGGUGCAAGCGUUAUCCGGAAUUAUUGGGCGUAAAGAGCUCGUAGGCGGUUUGUCGCGUCUGCUGUGAAAACUGGAGGCUCAACCUCCAGCCUGCAGUGGGUACGGGCAGACUAGAGUGCGGUAGGGGAGAUUGGAAUUCCUGGUGUAGCGGUGGAAUGCGCAGAUAUCAGGAGGAACACCGAUGGCGAAGGCAGAUCUCUGGGCCGUA